AGGGGCUUAGGAUAGACAGACCAAAGGCCUUCAAAGCCUUAAGCGGGAGUGAGACCCUCCCAGCCCCUG
rnacentral:tRNA from 1 species